rnacentral:rRNA from 1 species
GCCCUUUCCCACUUCCGCAACCCUAUCGCUGCUCCUCUCCUGGCGCCGCUCGACCUCCUCCUUCCUCUCGCUCAGGAUACCAGGAGAAGGCAGGGGUCUAGGGCGGCACUCCGGCGCGGCGGCAGAGGGAAUCAGACCCUCCUCUCCUCAAGGGGAAAACCAACCAGAGAGCUUCGCCCAGCGCGCGAUGGGGAAGAAGAAGGAGCGGUCAGUGAAUGUGUCGGGCAAGCCCCGUCACUCUCUCGACGUCAACCGCCCCAAUGACAAGAAGGGUGCUGGCGGCGGCAGCGGCGCCGGCGGGAGCCGGUCCGCGGCCACGGUGCGGCGGCUCAAGAUGUACAAACUAAGGCCCAUGAGGGACCGCGGUGGGAAGAUCGUCAAGCACGACCUCCAGUCCAAGGAGCUCCCCAACACCCGCAUCGAGCCUGACCGCCGGUGGUUCGGAAAUACACGAGUUAUCAAUCAGAAAGAACUUGAAUAUUUCAGGCAAGAACUCCAGGCACGGCUUACAAAUAACUACAGUGUGUUACUGAAAUCUAAACAGCUGCCACUAUCGCUUCUGCAGGAUCAUCAGAAGCAAGCUCGUGCACAUCUUCUUGACACUGAGCCUUUUGAGCAUGCCUUUGGACCAAAGGGCAAGCGUAAACGACCAAAUCUAUCCAGUCUUGAUUAUGAAUCUCUUAUAAAGAAAGCUGAUGAUUCUCAAGAUGCGUUUGAGGAAAAACAUGCUUCAUCAAAGUUGCCAAAGGAUGAAGAGGAAGAUGGCUUAAGGGAUCUAGUCAGGCAUAAUAUGUUUGAGAAGGGACAAAGCAAAAGAAUUUGGGGUGAACUUUAUAAAGUUCUUGACUCUUCAGAUGUUGUUGUGCAGGUGUUGGAUGCCAGGGAUCCAAUGGGCACGAGAUGCUACCAUCUGGAGAAACAUCUGAAGGAGAAUGCCAAGCACAAACACCUGGUAUUCUUACUAAAUAAGUGUGAUCUAAUACCUGCUUGGGCAACAAAAGGGUGGUUGCGUACUCUGUCCAGGGACUAUCCCACCCUAGCAUUCCAUGCGAGCAUCAACAAGUCUUUUGGAAAAGGAUCUCUUCUUUCAGUAUUAAGGCAGUUUGCCCGUUUGAGGAGUGACAAGCAAGCCAUAUCUGUUGGAUUUGUUGGAUAUCCCAACGUUGGGAAGUCCUCAGUUAUCAACACAUUACGCUCCAAGACUGUUUGCAAGGUAGCUCCGAUUCCUGGAGAGACUAAGGUGUGGCAAUACAUCACCAUGACUAAAAGAAUCUUCUUAAUUGAUUGCCCUGGGGUUGUGUACCAAAACAAUGAUACAGAGACUGAUGUAGUUCUUAAGGGUGUGGUACGGGUGACAAAUUUGGAUGAUGCUUCUGAGCACAUUGGGGAAGUUCUAAGGCGUGUAAAGAAGGAGCAUNNNNNNNNNNNNNNNNNNNNNNNNNNNNNGGCUGAUGAUAAUGAUUUUCUCGUCCAGCUGAGCAAGAUGAGUGGAAAGCUACUCAAGGGUGGGGAACCUGAUCUGACAACAGCAGCCAAGAUGGUACUUCAUGACUGGCAGAGGGGCAAGAUACCCUUUUUUGUGCCUCCGCCACAGCAGAAUGAAGAUGGUCCUUGUAAGAUUACUGAACCUGUGGAGGGAUCUGGUGAGGAAGUGGUCAGCAGUGACCGGGCUGCUGCUGCCAUGAAAGCCAUUGCGGGAAUUAUCUCUUCGCAGCAAACGAUGAAUGUCCCCUGCCAGAAGGAACUUGGCAGAAAUGGCGAAGACAGUGAACUCCCGGAGCAAUCAGACCUUUUGGUAAAAGACUGAAAGGCUAGCAAUCCUGCAUGAGAAGAUCCCUGGUAUUUUUGCCCGCGAACAUCUUCACGAGUGCCACCGAAGUUAUUCACUGUUUGCCAUGAAGGACACAGUUACGCAGGGGGGACAAUCCUUUGAUAUGUAUCGUUCAUGUUAUCUGUAGCUUUCUAAUGGAUUAGGUAGAGCGUUGUUGGCAUCUACAUCAAAACUUGUCUUUUGUUCACCUCAAGUUCUAGUUAGAUUUCACACCCUGUUUUAUACAUAGAUAAAUACCAUUUGGUUCAAAAUGCAACUUCUGCAAUUAUGCCUUUCUAAUUUUUGUUUUCCAC